rnacentral:lncRNA from 1 species
GCUGAUGACAGUACUGUUGGCCUUGCCUGGCUGUAUGCACAGCAGAGCUGAUGACCGUACUGUUGGCCUUGCCUGGCUGUAUGCACAGCAGGUGACAGUACUGUAGGCCUUGCCUGGCUGUAUGCACAGCAGAGCUGAUGACAGUACUGUUGGCCUUGCCUGGCUGUAUGCACAGCAGAGCUGAUGACCAUACUGUUGGCCUUGCCUGGCUGUAUGCACAGCAGGUGACAGUACUGUAGGCCUUGCCUGGCUGUAUGCACAGCAGAGCUGAUGACAGUACUGUAGGCCUUGCCUGGCUGUAUGCACAGCAGAGCUGAUGACAGUACUGUAGGCCUUGCCUGGCUGUAUGCACAGCAGAGCUGAUGACCGUACUGUUGGCCUUGCCUGGCUGUAUGCACAGCAGGUGACAGUACUGUUGGCCUUGCCUGGCUGUAUGCACAGCAGAGCUGAUGACAGUACUGUUGGCCUUGCCUGGCUGUAUGCACAGCAGAGCUGAUUACAUUUACAUUUUGGUCAUUUAGCCGGCGCUGUAUGCCAGAGCGACUUACAGUAGUGAAUGCAUACAUUUCAUACAUUUUUUUCCUGUGCUGGCCCCGCUGGAUCGAACCCACAACCCUGGCGUUGCAAACACCUUGCUCUACCAGCUGUAG